UACGGAGGGUGCAAGCGUUGUCCGGAUUUACUGGGUGUAAAGGGCGUGUAGGCGGAGAGAUGUGUCGGGAGUGAAAUCGUGCGGCUUAACCGUAUCAAUUGCUUCCGAAACUGUCUCCCUUGAGUGCUAGAGGGGCAGAUGGAAUUCCUGGUGUAGCGGUGGAAUGCGUAGAUAUCAGGAAGAACACCCGUGGCGAAGGCGGUCUGCUGGCUAGAUACUGACGCUGAGGCGCGAAAGUGCGGGGAGCAAACAGG
rnacentral:rRNA from 1 species